rnacentral:rRNA from 1 species
AUGAACGCUGGCGGCGUGCCUAAUACAUGCAAGUCGAGCGAACAGACGAGGAGCUUGCUCCUCUGACGUUAGCGGCGGACGGGUGAGUAACACGUGGAUAACCUACCUAUAAGACUGGGAUAACUUCGGGAAACCGGAGCUAAUACCGGAUAAUAUAUUGAACCGCAUGGUUCCAUAGUGAAAGACGGUUUUGCUGUUACUUAUAGAUGGAUCCGCGCCGCAUUAGCUAGUUGGUAAGGUAACGGCUUACCAAGGCAACGAUGCGUAGCCGACCUGAGAGGGUGAUCGGCCACACUGGAACUGAGACACGGUCCAGACUCCUACGGGAGGCAGCAGUAGGGAAUCUUCCGCAAUGGGCGAAAGCUUGACGGAGCAACGCCGCGUGAGUGAUGAAGGUCUUCGGAUCGUAAAACUCUGUUAUUAGGGAAGAACAAAUGUGUAAGUAACUAUGCACGUCUUGACGGUACCUAAUCAGAAAGCCACGGCUAACUACGUG